rnacentral:lncRNA from 1 species
UAAAAAAGACAUGGAAGUUUGCCUUGUAAUUAGAGAUUUGGUUUCAUUGCUUGUUGUUGGGUUAUUAAUGAUAUGGGGAUGGAGAACUUUAAACUGGGUAUGGCUGGCCCCAAAAAGGCUCGAAAGCUGCUUGAGACAACAGGGUUUUGCAGGGAAUCCUUACAGGUUCCUUUCUGGUGACAUAAAAGAGCUCUUCACUAUGAGCAGACAAACAAGAGCCAAACCAAUGCCUCUUAGUGAUGAUAUUGGGCCUUAUGUUGUUCCUUUUCAACAUCAAACUGCUAACCAGUAUGGUAUGUUUUUUUUAUUUAAUCUGCAAAUUAUGAUAAUUCUUUGUUAUUUAUGUAUGGAAUUUAUUGGGAGGAAAUGCAGGAAAGAAUUCAUUUACGUGGUUUGGUCCAAGACCAAGGGUGAACAUUACGGACCCUGAAAAAAUAAGAGAAAUACUUAACAAAUUUAAUGACUUCCAGAAGAUACGUACCAAUCCUCUGCUUAAUUUGCUUGUAAGCGGCCUUGUUAACCUCGAAGGAGACCGAUGGAGCAAGCGUAGAAAAAUCAUAAACCCUGCAUUUCAUCAAGAUAAGUUGAAGGUAUAGAAUAGUGAUGGGUAAUCAGACUUUACAGAAAACAUCAUACUUAAACCAAUGCUUUUCUGAUUUAGAAAUAAUUGGAUGCAGAAUAUGUUGCCAGCAUUUUAUCAAAGUUGUAGUGACAUGUUAAGCAAAUGGGAGAAGAUGGUGUGUACAGAAGGAUACAGUGAGUUAGAUGUGAGGCCUUAUCUCGUAGAUUUGACAAGAGAUGUGAUUUCCCGAUCUGCUUUUGGAAGCAGCUUCGAAGAAGGCAAACGAAUUUUCCAAUUACUAGAGGACCAACUCGUUCUCACAAUCAAAUUAAUACAAACUGUUUACAUUCCAGGAUGGAGGUAACCGUCAACUUAAUUUACUUGAAAAAGGUUGCAAAUCUUGGAAUUGGCUAAAUUCGUGUUUGUUUUCUUGAAGGUUUUUGCCAACGAAGACAAACAGGGAGAUGAAGAUGAAACACAGAGACAUAAAAGAGUCGCUUAGGGAAAUGAUAAAGAGAAGGGAGAAGGCAAUUAAAGCAGGGGAAGAGAGCAAUGAGGACUUGUUGGACAUACUUGUGGAAUCCAAUAUCAGAGAAAUGGAAGCAAAGAAUAUGGGGAUGAGCAUUGAGGAUGUGAUUGAGGAAUGCAAGCUGUUUUACUUUGCUGGCCAAGAGACCACUUCGGUCUUACUGGUGUGGACUAUGGUUUUAUUAGCAAGGUAUCCCGAUUGGCAAAGUAAAGCAAGAGAGGAGGUUUUGCAUGUUUUGGGUGACAAUAAACCUGAUGCUGAUGGCCUUAAUCGUCUCAAAGUUGUAAGUCCCUAGCAUGUCUUUUGAAGGUCCGAUCAAUGAGGUCGACAACUCAAAAACUUUGUUUCUUUUUUCGCUAAUUCUACAGGUAACGAUGAUAUUGUACGAGGUUCUAAGGCUGUACCCACCGGUGGUUGAGCUAGGACGUUCCGUUCCAAAAGAAAUAAAACUGGGGAAUUUGUUGUUACCAGUAGGAACAGAAGUUUCGGUUCCGAUCCUGCAGAUCCACCAUGACAAAGAUCUUUGGGGUAACGACGCACGGGAAUUUAAGCCAGAGCGGUUCGCGGAAGGGGUUUCCAAAGCAACAAAGAGUCAAGUCACGUUUCUGCCAUUCGGAUGGGGUCCUAGGAUCUGUAUUGGCCAAAAUUUUGCUUUGAUGGAAGCCAAAAUGGCGAUGGCUAUGAUUCUCCAACGCUUCUGGUUCGAGCUUUCCCCUUCCUAUGCUCACUCUCCUUACAGCAGGGGAACUCUUCGUCCACAGCAUGGUGCACAGAUAAUUUUACAUAAACUUGGCUGUAAUUGAAUUGUUAUGUAAACAAAUCUUUGUGAAAACAUAGCGUUUUAGUGUAUCGUCAAAGUCCGGUGUCUGUAAUGGUACAAAUUCGAUGCAUGAAUAGUAAAUUUUGAGAUGUUUGGUGAAGUCCGAAAUAAUAUGCAGAAAUUGAGCGUCUAUGGUGGACAUAGUUGAGGGACUAAUGUGGUAAUUAUCAAUCAAAUAAUUCGGUACAAAGACUUGUAUGGAAAUUAAAGCAGGGGGAGUUGAAAAUGACUACUCUGCUUUGGGCAUCAAUUUAGAAAGAUUUAAAGUACAACUGUGUUAUCAGUUAAGGGAUUUGUUUUAAAGAGGGAAUGACAAUUAAACCUCAUGGUUUAUUUGUGCAAGGGAACCGAUGAUGGGAUGAUUAUUCUUAGUGGUAAAAAAAACCAUUAUGGAGGUUAUUACACUUGUUAUCAUCAGCUUAAAAUUCGAAUGGGUUCAAGUCGGAUUAUAUCGAGCUUGUAAGAUGAGUUCACGGACCAAGUUUGCAUAAUAAAAUACCUAAAUGAAAAAAAAUUCUAUUUUAGAGGGACGAGAGCCCCUAUCAACUCCCGGCUCAGCCACUAAACAAUACCUAUAUCAUAUAAAUAAAUACCACCAUCUAAAAGACUCAAAGAAAAACACUCAACAAAGGAUAAAUAGAUAGAUGUUGGAUAAGUGUCCAAAAUAUGAUUUAAGUGAAGAUACAUGUGGUAGGUGUUACGGAAAUGUGAAGACAAGAAUCCCACUAACGUAUGGGAUGUGUGCAGUUGAAUGUAGGGAGCAAAAAGAGGAGUGAAUCAUUUUGGUAACAUUUGGACAAGAAACAUAAUGAACAAAAUGGAAGGAGAGGAAGCUAGUAAAAGAAUUUUUUUGGGUCAUAUAAUUUGUUCAUUUUGGAGUUGAAUUAUAAUUUUUUUAUAUAUUAUUUUAAAAUUUUAAGGAGUUAAAACAAAAUUAUUUUAUUUUCAGAUGGUCAAAGUAGAGGUGAUAAUGGGUUGGGCUAUUCGGCCCGGCCUGACGAUUCACUCGAAAAAUAGGAGGGUUUAGGUAAAAAUAUAGGCUCGAAAUAGGGAUUUGAGCAAAAAAAGAGUCCCGUUUAGAAAAUGGGCCAGGCCUCGGGUAAAAUUUUUUGGGCCCAAGCCUGACCUGAAUUAUAUAUUAAAUAUAUUUUUUAAUUUUUAAUCAAAUAUACUUUUUUUUAUUAAUUUGGUUAUUAUUUUAGUUCUAAUUUGUUUCAAUUUUAAUAUAACCACUUUUUAUUAUAUUUUCAAUUUGUGUAUUGUUUUAAGAAUUGUUUUAGUCUCAUUUUUUUAUUUAUUUUUUGUUUUAAUAAUUGUUUUAAAAAUUUUUAUUUAAUGAAAUAAGCUAAAAAAAUUAAUAUGGGCUUGGCCAGGCCAGGCUCGGGCCUAGUAAUUUUCUUUUGGGCCGGACUUAGAUAAAAUUUUAAGCCCAUAUUUUAAAUUGGGUCCUAACCUAAAAAAUGAACCUAAAAUUUUAUAUGGGCCCGACUUGGCCCUUGAUUACCUUUAGGUCAGAGCUAUCCUCGUUUUGCAUUUCUUUGAGAUUCAGCCUUAUCUACUGUGAUUGCCCACUCAAUUGAGGGUUGAGUAGAAAGAUUUGGUGAAGCAAGCUAAGCUAUCAAUCAAGGUUUGCAUAAUUAUUUAAAUGUAAUUCUAAUAUUAAAAUAAUUUUUUUAUUAAUAUAGUAUCAACAAGCAUUAAAUGUAAUGAUCAUAUACUAUUACAUUUUAAAGAAGAGAAAACAUGUUUGAACUUUAAAAACCACGUUACUAAAAACAUUAUCACAAACCUUGAAAUAUAAAAAAUAAUUUUUUUAAUAUAAUAAAAAAUUAAUUUUAAACCCGAGCUGAAUAAAAUUCUAAUUUUAGUUAAUGAUACGAACAACAAAUCAAUAUUCUAAGCCCGAGCCCUGCUCAUUUUUUUAAUAAACACCAAAAAUUUAUUUUGAAAAUAAAAAAUAAAAAAAAUAUUUUAAAAAUAUUUUAAAAAUAAAAAAAAUUAAAAAUAAAUAUUUAUUAUAUAUUCAGGCCGGGCCGGGCUAGCCUUGGGCUAAAAAAAUGGUGCCCGAGGCCCGGCCCAUUUUCUAAAUAGGCCUCAUUUUUUGUCCAAACCCAUAUUUUGGGCCUAUAUUUUUACCCGAACCUCUCAUAUUUUGGGCGGACCGUCGGGCCGGACCGGGCCGCCCGGCCAUGAACACCUCUAGGGCAAAGUCACUCAAUGAAUGCAUGGAAAGAAAUAUUGCAACUUGGUGACAGCUUUUGUUGGAGUUAUAUGCUUUUUUUUACAUAGUGGAACUUUCGGUGGAUUUUCAAGUUUCAUGAACUUUAUACCCUAGGCUUUACGUGAAAAAAAUCAUUGGACUUAAAAGUCUACCAAAAGUUUCACUAUAAUAAAUAAAUAAAUAAAUAACAUUGCUACAAGACUACAACAUAAAGUUACAAUAAGAGCUUAUAACUCAACAAAGGCUAUCAAUAAAUAAUCUCAAGCAAGCUAAAGAGAAAUGUUGAGAGUACCACUCAAAUAGUGAUUGACUUUAAAAAUUGAAAACCCGAAGUUAUUGUUGACACCAUUUUUUGGAUGAAAAUGUGUCGACUUGGGUUUUGAAAAUGAAAACGAAAACGAGAGUCGCCACCAAUCCUUUUUGAUAAGGUGUGACUGGGUCACCUUGAAAAGUGGUUGUUUUUAAUAAACGAUUUGAUUUUAUUAAAACAACAGUUUUGGUCCACGAAAUUCAGAAAAAUGAGUUCGGGAGUCGGUUACGCACGAGGAAGGAUUAGCACCCUCGAUACGCCCAAAAUUGGUACCUAGUUGAUUACUUAAUGUCUUAAUGUCGAAAAUUGAAAACUUUGGAGAAUUUUAAACAUACGAUCCUUGUAUUAAAACGUUAAAAAUUUUCAAGAAAAUGGGAUAUUUCACGUUAUUCGAUAAAGAGAAUCAUAUCCUAGUAAGUUAGGACACAAUAUCUCGAAUUUCCGAUAUCAUUUAAAACUUGAGUUUGAAAAGAUUCGUGUAAUAAAGUUUAAAAUAAUAUUCAAUUGUUUAAAUCAAAUGAAGAAAUCGCAACCCAAUACGUUAGGGCACAAUUUCUCAAAAUAUUAAACAUUGAAUAUUGCAUUUAUUUCGAAAAAUCCUCAUCUCGAGAAAACGUGUCACAUCCAAUGCAUUAGAAUACAACGUAUUGAAUUCUCGAUAACGAGCUUUUUCUCAUUUUUUAAAAGAGUAAUCUCGAUUAUUUAGGUUCAACGAAGAAAAUCAAAACCCAAUACGUUAGGGCUCGAUUUUCUCAAAGAUUCCAAAUACCGAGUAUUACUUAUAUUUUUAAAAUUUCUUUUUUGAAAUCCGAGUAAAAAUGAAUGCAAAAUAAUAAAUGAUGACAAUGUAAAUAAAAUGAUACAAGCAAAACAAUAAACAAUAAAAAUAAUCAUACGGGCAAGGUAACAAAUAAUUAGGAACUAAAGAAAGAGAACAAACAAUAAUAAACAUGCAAAUAAAUGAACAAAAUUAACAACAUGAUGCAAAUAUGAAAGAUAUAUAAGCACAUAUAUAUACAUAAAAUAAUGAGAAUAUGAAAAAAUGUGUGUAAUUGGACAUGUUUCGGAAUUAUUAUACAUUUAAAAAUCAUGUAAAUGUGUGUACAUACAUAUAUACAUAUAUAAUAAUCAUUAAAUAUAUAAAAAUACAUAUGUGUAGGUAUAUAUGAGUCAUAAAAUGUAAAGAAUAUAUACAAGAUAUAUUUUGAACGUAUAAAGUAUAUGUAAAUGUAUAUAUAUAAUAAAGGUGUAUGAAAGCAUAUUUUAUAUACGUGUAUUUAUAAAAUGUAUAUAAAUGUAUAUUGAUUUACCAAUACAUAUGGAUUUAUAAUUAUAGAAUAUAUAUAAAAUAUUUACAUAUAUACGUUUAUGCAUAUAUAAAAGUAAGUUAUUAUAAAAUAUGAGCAAGCAGAAUACAUAAAUAUAUAUACAUAAAAUAAAAAUGAAGAUGAAAAUAAUAUAAAACUACUUAAUAUAUUAAUAUAAUAGUAACAAAUUAAAAAAACAGAAAAUAAAGCUAAUAAUAAUUAAUAAUAGUAGUAAUAAUUAUAGCAGCAAUGAUAAUGAUAAUAAUAAUAACACUAAAAAAAUUAAUUAAAUAAUAAAAUUGCUAAAAAGGGAUUAAAUCGAAAUAAAAACAUAAAUACUGGGCGAUUUUGAAAUAAAAAACGGGAAGGACCGAAUUGCAACGCGCGUUGAAAAGGAAAGGGCCAAAACUGCAAAUAAACCACAGCCCCAAAACGCAGCGUUGAAAUGGACCAAGUCGAAAUAAAAAUAAAAUUGCAGGGGCUAAAUUAAAAAUAAGAGAAAAUAACGAAAAAUGAUCAAAUUGUAAUACGCUGCAAAAUCAGGGGGACUGCACGCGCAAAUAGCCCAAAAACUGAAAACACGCGGAUCCUCCGGGUCGGGUCGGGUCGGGUCAGGUCGACGUGCGGAUCCCCUUUGCUAAAACGGCGUCGUUUCAUGUUUAAUAUAAAUACUAAAAAAAGCUAAAAAAAACAGUUUCAUCUUUUUUUAAAAAAAACAGAGAGAAAACUCUCUCUUUUUCCCUCAGGUCCGGCCAUGGUCCGGCUUGGGAUUUCCGACGAGUCUCCGCCGCAAAGCCACCGUGUGUGGCGGCCGGAGGUUCAAAAUCAGACCUUUUUGGUCCUUUUUUAAAGUCCAUGGCCUCCAAGCCACAGAUCCGGGGCUGAAUCUCCUGAAUCGAAAGCCGAAGACCCAAAAAAUGGGGUGAAAUCCUUCGCCUUCCUCCCCCUUCCGGCGCUGCGCAGGUAAGGUUUUUUUUAACUCCUUUUUUACUAUCUUUAUUUAUAUAUAUACAUGAAGAGAAAAGAGAGCAAAAUAAAUAAAUAAAUAAAAACUUCAAAACUGAAGAGAAAAAGACCUUGAAUCUGCCUUAUUUAUUUUCUUUCGGUUGAAUCUGUUUUUGUUUGUUACAAAAGUUUCCAGGGAAGAGAAAAAAAAAGAGAGUUACAUGCUUGGCUUUUAUAGCCGAUAUUAAUUUCUAUUUUUUGUUUUCUUUUUCCUUUCUUUUCUUUGGCUGUUGCGUGUUUGCUUCCUUAUUGCAGGGUGAUUGACGGGAGUGGUUGGCGACAGAGUCGGUGGCCACUUGCACUGAUGAAGCAGCGGUGGCGGCGCUAGGGUAGGCUAGGGACGGCGGCAGUACUAGGGUUUCAGAAAACUGAAACCCUAGUUUGACAAAUUGGUUUCGGGCCUGUUGGGCUUUAAAUUAUGGGCUUUGUAAUUGGGUUUUGGGUUUAGGUGAUUUGGGUUUAGGUGGUAUGGGCCCGGGUCAAAUUUUGGGUAAUGGGAUUGGGGCAAAAUUGGGUUGUACAGUUAUAAUAUCCCAAACGAAAUCAAACUAUAAACAUUAAAUUUUUCGAGUCUUCUAGAUACUGUAAAAAAUUCAGCUCCAACGGACACCAAAUGAACCUAUGAUCGAAGAAAAUACGAAGACUAGUCUGGCUAAAUCAAUCUGCCAAACUUACUUUUUAUCUUAUCUUUAAUUUGCUGUGAAAUUCAAAACUACGUGUAAUACUCAAUUUAUGCUCGACCCAUUUUGUUAAAACAAAUAAAAAAGAAAAGAAAAACAAAAUAUUUAAAUUUAGCCCAAAUGUCCAUUUACACAGCCCAAUUACAAUUGCAAAUAAAAAAAACUAAAACUAAACCCGAUCCUAAGCAUCAGCCCAAAUUCGACCCAUGCCCAAAACGAAUUCAGAUGCAGAAACCCUAGCCCAGCCUUAAUGCAAGCAAAAGUCGAAAGCCCUAAUAGUUGGUGCGCCGCUCCUGUAACAGCCCGAUUUUGGGCCUAGUCGGAACAGUGGUUUUGGGACCACAAAUCCGACGAGAAAAAAAUGUAAUGGCCCGAAUUUUCAGAGGUGUCAGAACGGUGAUUCGAGAUCACUAAAUUCGACAAAUGGGUAGAAAAUAUUAUUAAUUUAGUAAGUAUAAGUUAAAUGUGAAGUUAGGAAAAUUUUUGAAAUGGUGAAUAGUACACUAGAAAUAAAUAUUAAAAUAAUUAGAAUCGAAAAUGAGGUAUCGAGACCUCGGGGAUUUUAAACCGAGCCAUAAAUAUUUUUAUAAAUAUUUAUGUAGUCUUAAAAAGUUAGUAUUAAAGUUUCGUUAAGAAAUUUUAAAGUUCCGAUAAUUAAUUGAACAAAAAGGACUAAAUUGUAACAAAUACAAAAUUAUGAGAAAUGAUUAAAUAGUUUAAAUGAUAAAAGGAAGAGGGCUUAAAAGGUAAAUAGACCCAAGGUCUAUUUGGGCUGCACGGCAAAGGCAUGAAAUCAGCAACAAAGUAAGGAGAAUUAAGGGCAAAAUUGGAAUAUUGCAAAAUUUACUUAAUAAAGUUAGGACCAAAGUGGAAUUAUCUAGAUUUCUCUUUAUUUUUCUGCAUUAUCAUCAGCAUAAACACCAUAGAAGGGUUUUCUUAAGCUGGUUCUUCCUAUUUUUACUGCAGGUAAGUUCAAUUCUUGAUUAUUUCUUGAAAAUUUUGUGUUUUUGUGACUUUUACAACUAGGCCCACUUAUUGUAUUCAUUAGUUUUUGAUUCUAUGAAAGAAGUUGAAAGUUGCUAUGAAUACAUGCUGGAAGUAUAUGAUGAUUUAGCAUGGAAUUAGAGCUUUAAAUUGUUCAUAUGCUGAUUUAUUGAAAGAAUUGAAUAGAAAGUGAAUGUUUGGGACCUAAUAGUAAAAGAGUUUGAAGAUAGAGUUAUAUGUGGAAAUUCUGAAUUUCAAUAGUUGUGAAACAACUUAUAAUGUCUAGGUUAAGUAUUAAUUGAGAAAAUUAAAUUAAUUGAGGGGUUAAUUGAGAAAGGACCGAAUUGUAUAAACUGUGAAAUUUGGGGCAAAAAGGAAAUCAACAUUUUACACUAAAGCAGUUUUGGACAGCAGCAGUAGUAUAACUUUGAAAAAUCACCAAAAAUUUUGAGAAUUGAAUUAGAGGGUGAAUAAAAUAUAAAAUUAAAGCUCCUUGAAUCUAGUUUCUCAUAGAAGAAACGGUGUAAGCAAUGGAAUUGUAAAUCAUGAGAUAUAAUAAAUUUUGUGAGACAAUGUCAUAAUGAUUUCGGGUUCCCCUAUUCUGACUUUGGAAAAUCAUCAAAAAAUUAAGAAAAAUAUGAGUUAUAAUUUAUAUGAUUACAAUCCUUAAUGAGUCUAUUUUCAAAGAAAAUAAACGGAAAUAUCAUCCAAAUUCUGUACAAUUAUAUAAUUCAUUUUUAGUGAAGAGUGGUCGAAACUGUCAGACAGCGAAAUAGGGGGAACUUUAAAGAAUAAACUGUACUAUUUGGCUGAACCAAAAAUUCUGAAAAUUUUAUGGUAAGAAGGUAUGUGAGUCUAGUUUUAAGGAAAAUUAACGGAUCUUAAUUUAGAGCUCUGUAGCUCUAGAUAAAAAUAAUUUAGUGACUCUGACUCAGAUAAAUAGCUUUGAAUGUACAUGUGAGUGAAUAGUGAAAUUAUAGCUAGUGUUGUUUAAGUGUGUUAUACACAUUAAGGAUAUGGAAUGGAGAGGAGGAGGAGGAGGAAAAAUUGGGAAAUAUAUGAAUGAUUUGUGUAUAAUUGGUCAUAUGCUUAAUUAUAAUUGAUAAACGAUGAAAUAGAAAUGAUGCAUAUAUUUGUGCAGUAUUGGUCAUGGUUUAAGCUCAUGUGGGAAAAUAAAGUUUAUAGUACGUGUGUAUUAUAUUUUUGGUAUAUGAUUUGGCAUUAAGUAAUGUCGUGAAUGGAUAUUGAAUUAACACAUGUUGGAAAGUUUGAUAUAUGAAUAAAUAUUGUGAUCAUGAAAGAGUGUUACAGCUCCUGCCUUCAGCACGCGUCGAGCCUCCGCGCCAAAUCCACGUGAGCCUCCGUACACUCCAACUAGCCUCCGUACCUGCAACAAACAAAAGUAGACAAAACAACAGCAAAGGAUAGGAAGAAAAGGCAGUAAAUAGUGAAGAUUUUUCUGUAAUUUUCUUUGGAUUUCAUUAUGUAUUUUCGGCUAUAAAAGAGCCAUUAGGAAUAUUUGUAAAGGGUUUUUUUUUUACCCUCACACACAAAGAGAAUAUACACGCAUACAAGAUCAAUAUAGAGAAAGAAAUAAAAAUAAAUAAAUACAAAGAAUAGAAAAUCAAGUUUCGAAGGUGAUUCUUUGAAAAAUCCUUUUCGUUUUUCUCAUUUUUCCUUUUUCCUGGAUCUUUUGUUCAUUUCAAGUAAAAAAAGUAUAGAAAGGAAACAAGUUUAGAGGAAGGAGGUUUACCUGGACGCCGGACCUCGCUCGCCUCGUCGAAAUCGAAGGCUGAGAGGGGAUAAAUCGGUUUUGCGGCAGAAGGAAAGGGGGGCUAGGGUUCUUGUUUUAACUUUUUUAAAAAAAAUAGAAAAGGUUGCUAAUUAGGUUUUAAUGGGGGAUUUAUGUGUGUUAAAAAAACGACGUCGUUUAGCGACCUUUGACCCGUGCGGUGACCCGACCCGAGGAAAGGAUCUGCGCGUUUUGGGUCUGAUGGGUUUAUUGCGCAACAAGCCCUUCCGCAUUUGUUUUUCGUUUCAAUUCGGUUUUUAUUUGUUUUUUAAUUGUUUUCUCAUAUUUAGUUCCAAUUUCAAUUGGGUCCAUGAUUAAACGACAUCGUUUUCAUUGAUUGGGUUUGAAGGCCUGGUUUUGUGCGUCUAAAUUGCAGCAAUGGUCCCCCUGAUGUGCAAUAGUUCUCGAUUUAGUCGUCUCCACACUUAUUUCAAAGUCGUCCUUGAGAUUUUGUUUUAUUUUUGAAAUUGUCCUUGUCUUCUUUUAAUUUAUAAUGAUAUUAUUAUUAUUGUUGUUGUUAUUAUUACUAUUAAUAUGGGUAUUGUUAUCAUGUUAGUUUAUAUCUAUUUAUUUACUUUUAUUUUAUUAUGUAUUAUUAUAUAAUGCUUUUAUCAUGUAUCAUUUUAUAUAUUUUCUAUGUUAAUCUAAUAUGAUAUAUAUAUAUAUAUGUAUUUUUGUGAUCUUAUUUUAUAAUACUUUUUUAACCCAUUUAUAUGCCUUUAUGUUUUAAAGAUUUAUAAUAUUUUGUGCAAAACUAUUAUAUAUAUAUAUAGAUAUACAAUUUAUAUUAGACCAUUUUUAUCGUACAUAUACGUAUAUAUAAUUUAUAUUUUGAAACUCUAUUUUAUUAUAUUUUAUGCCUCUAUAUACAUCAUUAUAUGUUUAUUAUUCUUUAUAUUAAACCUGCCAUUUCACUUAUAUAUUUUUAAAACCAAUGUGUAUUAUUCUUUCUUCUUUGUUAUUUUUUAUCUCUUAAAAUAGAUUGAUAAUUCAUUUAAUUUUUGAAUGUUGUAUGACCGAGAUUAUCGUUGCCAUUCUUGUCCAAAUUUAUCCAUUGCUUGUUCAUAUUAUUUGAUAAUUUAUCGCUCACUAGCAUGUAUCGUAAUUUACGAAUUAUCAUUUUGAAUUAUGUACUACCAUUCAAUCGCAUUACAUUUGUUUGGAAAACAUCGAAAUCGUUUUGCACAUAAACCUUCAAAAUGCUUGGUAUCCAAAAUUCUCGAGAGGAUUGUGCCCUAAUUUAUUGGGCUUCAAUUCCCCUUUUUGAUUUUAAAUAACCGAAUACCCCUUUUUCAAUUUGAACAUAGAAAUUCCAAAAUAAAAAAAAACUCAUUCUCGGGAAUUUGAUGCGUUGUGUCCUAACGUAUUGUAUAUGACAUAUUUUUCUCGAGACGAGGAUUUUUCUAACAAAUAAAAAUAAAGGCAAUAUUCGAUAUUUAGGAAUUUUGUGAAAUCGAACCCUAACUUACUGGGUUUUGAUUUUUUCAUUUGACCCAAGUAGGAUAUCCUUCACAAAUGCACAGAUUUUAAAAAAUCAAAAGAUAAACUUAAUUUCGAGGAUUUAAAAUGUUACACUCUGACUUACUGAGUGUGUCAAUUUAUUUCUUUGAAAUAAGUGAGUCUUAUCAUCCAAUUUAUUUUAUUCAAAUUUUCUUUUCCAAGGAUCGUAUUUUAAAAUUUUUUCAAAAUUUCGACAUUAAGACAUUAAGCAAUCAAUUCAGUACCAAUUUUGGGCGUCACGAGGGUGCUAACUCUUCCUCGUGCGUAAUCGACUCCCGAACCAGUUUUCUCAAAAUUCACAGACCUAAAAUUAUUUUCAAGGUGAUCCGAUCACACCACAAUAAAAGAUCAGUGGUGACUCCCAUUCCUAUUUUUAAAAGUCGAUUCCUGUUUUUCAUAUAUAAAAAAAUGGUUUCGACACUACGGUUUUGUUUGUUUCCCUUAGAACAACUUUCAAAAAGUUAAUUUUGAAAAAUGGAUUGAAUUUUCAAAAUAGAUGAUAUUUUUUUGUGUUAAAAUUUUAUUCGUUGUUUGAAAAAAAAAUUUAAAUCAUUUUCUUAGAAUUAUUUUUAGUGAAACAAAUAUAUCAUAAAUAUAUUUGUUAUAAAAUAUUAUAUUAAUAUUUUCUUUUAACAAUUAAAAUAUAUUUUGUGAUAAGGUAAUAUUUUAUAAUAAUUAAUAUCAUAUAUACUUAAUAAUAAAUCAUGUCUAAUUAAAAUUUAAUUUCAAUUAAAUAUAUUAAUAAAGCUACAUUUAAUCAUAUUUUAUAUAAUUAAAAUAUUAAUAUAAAUAUUUUUCAAUAAUAUAUUAAAGAAUAUUUAAAAUUUAAAUUUAUUAUUACUAAGAUUAAUUAUUAAAACAAAAAUGUAAUAUUAAAUAAUUUAUCCAAUGAUAAGUUAUAUUAAUAAUUUAUUAUAUUAUUAAAUAUAAAUAAUUAAAUAUGUAUGUUUAAUAAUAUUAUGUUAUAAUAUUUAUUACUAAUAUUUUAAUAUUUUUAAACAACCAUGUUUUAAAGAUGGUGGUGAUGGUGAUGGUGCAGGCCCCCUUGUUAAAAUUACAAUAUUUUUAAGUGGGAUGCAUGUAAUAUAUUGUUAGGGUUUUAGAGUAUGUGGUCUUUAAAAGGGUUAAAUUAUAUAUUUAUAUAAUAUGAUUAUUGUUUAUAAACAUAAUAUUGUAGAUAAGUUUAUAUGUAUGUCAAUAUGUAUCCUACUCUAAGGUUAAUAUGUAUUUUUUAGAUGUGGGUUUACCUAUAUAAUAGUAUGAAUCCAUCAUGUGGUCUCAUGAAAUAUACAAACACAUAUCGUGCGAACACAAAGUACGAACAAUAAAAAAUACAAAUCAAGACCCAAUUGAAUAAUUGAAUAACGGAUAGGUAAUAAUGAAUAUCAUAACAUUUACUAUCCCCUCUUUUCUAGUGAGUUAUUGUUUAUGAUAAAUUUGCAACAAAUGUUUUUAUCAUUAUUUUGUUGGUAAAUGAUAAUAAGAUUAAACAUUACUUUCUUAAGCUCCUUCAAUUCUUUGGACGUUAGCGAGUAAACUUGAGCUUCAGCAUUCCACAAACACCUUAAUUUGAAGACACAGUUCUCUCAUACUAAAAACGACAUGGACGUUUACCUUGUAAUUAGAGAUUUGGGCUCAUUGUUGGGUUAUUAAUGAUACGGGGAUGGAGAGCUUUAAACUGGGUAUGGUUGGCCCCAAAGAGGCUCGAAACGUGCUUGAGACUAGAGGUGAUCAAGGGCCGGGUUAGGCCCAGUCUAGAAAAAAAAUUAGGCCCAUUUUUUAGAUUUGAACUCGGCUCGGCUCAAAAUAUAAGCUUAAAAAUUUGUCUAAGUUCAGUCCGAAAGAAAAUUGUUAAGCCCAAGCUCGACCCAUAUUAAAUUUUACAACACCAAAAAAGUAUAUUUAAAUAAAAAUAAAAUAUAUAUAUUUAAUAUAUAAUUCGGGCCGAGCUGAACUCGGGCCAAAAAAGUUUUACUCGGGGCUGGUCCGUUUUCUAAACAGACUUCGUUUUUUUUGCCAAAAUCCAUAUUUUUACCCGAAUCUUCCUAUUUUUUGGGGUGUGCCGUCGGGCCGAACUGGGUAACCGAACCAAUGAUCACCUCUGUAAUCACUGAAUUUUGUCCGGGAAUAACUUUCGUUAAAAAAAUUUUAAAAUUAAAAAAAAAUUAACUUUUUUGCUUUUUGACCCCUAAACUUUUCUAAAAUUUCAUUUUAACCCCUAAACUUUCUCAAAAUUACAGUUCAACCCCUAAACUUUUCUAAAUUACAUUUUGACCCCUAAAAUUUCUUAAAAUUACAUUUGGACCCUUACACUUUCUCAAAAUUACGUUUCGGCCCCAAAAUUUUUGCUACAUUUACAAAUUGGUCCUUCUGUCAGAAAAUCCCCAAUAAUCCGGCGGAUUUCGUGCACCUGCCCCACUAUUUCCGGCAGCCGGCCUAGGGCAUGGCCUUCCCCACCUGCUACCUGCAAACAAGAAGCAAAAUCAACUAUAAAAAGGAGUUUAAACUCCAAAAAUCGGACCCCCACCCACGAAAAAAAUAAAAAAAAAAAACUUGAAAGAAAAAGAAAAAAGCUUUGAGAAAGAAAAAGAAAAGGAAAAGAAGAGAGGGGAGAAGGAGAGGCCGACCAUCGGCGAGCCACCGGAGGAGGCGACGGCAGCAGCGGCAUCGACGGCGGCGUAGAAGACCGAACGGAGAAGAAGAAGAAGAAGAAAAAAAAAGAAAGAAGAGAAAGAAAGAAGGAAGAAGAAGAAGAAAGAAACAAAAAAAAAAGAAAAUAUUUUGUAAUAGUCGGCCCGGCCCGACUCGACCUGCACGACCCGUGACCCGACCCGACAGCACCAGCAACCUAGCAGGCCACGGUAGCAGCCCGGCGGCCCAAAGAGUAGCCCAAAAAGAAAAAAAGAAGAAGAACAAAGCAAAAAAAAAAAGCAGGCCAUUUUCAGCAGGCCCAGUGCAGCCCAGCAGACCCAGCGAACCCAGCAGGCCAGGCCCACACGCAAGCAGCCCAACAGAAAAAAAGGGAAAGAAAAAGAAAAGAAAAAAGAAAAAAGAAAAAAGAAGAAGAAGGGGUUCAAUUUGUAUUAUCCGUUCGGCGAAGCUCGUGUUUUGAGGAUUUUUUUUCGGUAAUUUUAUUUUUUAAUUUUAAUUUAAUGCUCGUAUUUUUUUUAAAUAUUAUUAGUAUUUUAUGCAUUUUUAUAUUUUGGCAUUUAUAUUUUUAAUUUAAUUUACUUCAAUUUUUAUUUUAUUUUAUUUUAAAUAAUUUUAAUAAAUGAGGCAACGAAUCGAUUUAACAUAAAAUCGUUGAUUUCAUUGCUAUGUUGGGUGAAUAUCAUCGGUUUGUGUUAAACACGAUACACCCUUUUUAAAAAAAAGAAAAAAAUCGAAAAAAUUCUAAAAUUCUCAUUUUUUUAAAAUUCUCGUGUUUUAAUAGAAUCACGAUUAAAUAUUAAGUUGAAUCGAUUUGGCACUAAUUCGAUGAUUUCAUCUCCAUGUAGGGAUGAAUAUCAUUUAUUCGUGUUAAAUAUGGUACUUCUGAAAAAAAAUCGGGUUUCAAAAAUUUUCGUGUUUUCAAAAAUUCUCAUGUUUCAAAAAUCUUCGUGUUUUAAAAAUUCCAGUGUUUCAAAAAUUUUCGUGUUUUCAAAAAAAAAUUUCUCGUGUUUUUAAAAAUUCCCGUAUAUCGAAAUUUUCUUGUUUUCAAAAAAAAAAUUCCAUGUUUCAUAAAUUUCCGUGUUUUCAAAAAAAAAUUCUUGUUUUUCAAAAAUUUUCGUUUUUAAAAAAUUUGACCGUGUUUCAUAAAUUUUCGUAUUUCAAAAAAACCUCGUGUUUCAAAAUUUUCGGGUUUUUUUAAAAACAAUUCGUGUUUCUAAAAUUCUCGUAUUUUAAAAAAAAUCGUGUUUUCAAAAAAAGAAAAAGUUGUUGUGCUUUAAAAUUAUCGUGUUUCAAUCGGAUCACGAUUAAUAUUAAAUUGAACUCGUAUUUUUGAAAAUGAAAACAACGCGCGUUUAACGAGAUACCAAUUUUGGGCGUCGCGAGGGUGCUAAUACCUUCCUCGCGCGUAACCGACUCCCGAACCUUAAUUUUCUCUGAAUUUUUACGUGGACCUAAAAUUACCUCUUUUUAGAAAAGUUUAAAAAUGAAUUUUUCUUCUAAAAAGAGAAUUUUGUAGGUGUCCGAUCACACCUAAAAAAAGAUCGGUGGCGACUCCUUUUUUUCAAAUAAAAUCGAGAUUCAGUUUUCAAGUUUUUAAUAAUUACUUCGACAAGCGCCCGUGCGCAAAAUUUUUAAGUCGCUACAGCCUCUACUUGAGACAACAGGGUUUUGCAGGGAAUUCUUACAGGUUCGUUUCUGGCGACAAAAAAGAGCUCUUCACUAUAAGCAUACAAACAAGAGCCAAAACUAUGCCUCUUAGUGAUGAUAUUAGGCCUUAUGUUAUUCCUUUUCAACAUCAAACCGUCAACCGGUAUGGUAUGUUUUUUUUAUUUAAUCUGCAAUUUGUGAUAAUUCUUUGUUAUUUAUGUAUGGAAUUUAUUGGGAGGAAAUGCUGGAAAGAAUUCAUUUACGAGAAUUGGUCCAAGAUCAAGGGUGAACAUUACGGACCCUGAAAAAUAAGAGAAAUACUUAACAAAUUUAAUGACUUCCAGAAGAUACGUACCAAUCCACUGCUUAAUUUGCUUGUAAGCGGCCUUGUUAACCUCGAAGGAGACCGAUGGAGCAAGCAUAGAAAAAUCAUAACCCUUGCAUUUCAUCAAGAUAAGUUGAAGGUAUAGAAUAGUAAUGGGUACUCAAGACUUUAAAGAAAACAUCAUACUUAAGCCUAUGCUUUUCUGAUUUAGAAAUAAUUGGAUGCAGAAUAUGUUGCCAGCAUUUUAUCAAAGUUGUAGUGACAUGUUUAAGCAAAUGGGAGAAGAUGGUGUGUACAGAAGGAUACAUUGAGUUAGAUGUGUCGCCUUAUCUCGUAGAUUUGACAAGAGAUGUUAUUUCCCGAUCUGCUUUUGGAAGCAGCUUCGAAGAAGGCAAACGAAUUUUCCAAUUACUAGAGGACCAACUCGUUCUCACAAUCAAAUUAAUACAAACUGUUUACAUUCCAGGAUGGAGGUAACCGUCUACUUUAAUUUACUUGAAAAAGGUUGCAAAUGUUGGAAUUGGCUAAAUUCGUGUUUGUUUUCUUGAAGGUUUUUGCCCACAAAGACAAACAGGGAGGUGAAGAUGAAACACAAAGACAUAAAAGAGUCGCUCAGGGAAAUGAUAAAAAGAAGAAAGCAGGCAAUUAAAGCAGGGGAAGAGAGUAAUGAGGACUUGUUGGACAUACUUGUGGAAUCCAAUAUCAGAGAAAUGGAAGCAAAGAAUAUGGGGAUGAGCAUUGAGGAUGUGAUUGAGGAAUGCAAGCUGUUUUACUUAGCUGGCCAGGAGACCACUUCGGUCUUACUGGUGUGGACUAUGGUUUUAUUAGCAAGGUAUCCCGAUUGGCAAAGUAAAGCAAGAGAGGAGGUUUUGCAUGUUUUGGGUGACAGUAAACCUGAUGCUGAUGGCCUUAAUCGUCUCAAAGUUGUAAGUCCCUAGCAUGUCUCUUGAAGGCCCGAUCUCUGAGGUCGACAACUCAAAAACUUGGUUCUUUGUUUCGCUAAUUCUACAGUUAACAAUGAUAUUGUACGAGGUUCUAAGGCUGUACCCACCAGUGAUUGAGCUAGGACGUUCCGUUCCAAAAGAAAUAAAACUGGGAAAUUUGUUGUUACCAGCAGGAACAGACGUUUCGGUUCCAAUCCUGCAGAUCCACCAUGACAAAGAUCUUUGGGGCGACGCCGCACGGGAAUUUAAGCCACAGCGGUUCACGGAAGGGGUUUCCUAAGCAACAAAGAGUCAAGUCACGUUUCUGCCAUUCGGAUGGGGUCCUAGGAUCUGCAUUGGCCAAAACUUUGCCAUGAUGGAAGCUAAAAUGGCGAUGGCUAUGAUUCUCCAACGCUUCUGGUUUGAGCUUUCCCCUUCCUAUGCUUACUCUCCUUACAACAUGGCAACUCUUCGUCCACAGCAUGGUGCACAGAUAAUUUUACAUAAACUUGGCUGUAAUUGAAUUGUUAUGUAAGCAAAUCUUUGUGAAAAUAUAGUGUUUUAGUGUAUCGUCAACGUCUGUCUGUAAUGGUACAAUUCCGAUGCAUGAAUAGUAAAUUUUGAGAUGUUUGGUGAAGUCCGAAAUAAUAUGCAGAAAUUGAGUGUCUAUGGUGGACAUAGUUGAGGGACUAAUGUGGUAAUUAUCAAUCAAAUAAUUCGGUACAAAGACUUAUAUGGAAAUUAAAGCAGGGGGAGUUGAAAAUGACUACUCUGCUUUGGGCAUCAAUUUAGAAAGAUUUAAAGUACAAAUGUGUUAUUAGUUAAGGGAUUUGUUUUAAAGAGGGAAUGACAAUUAAACCUCAUGGUUGAUUUGUGGAAGGGAACCAAUGAUGGGAUGAUUACUCUUAGUGGUGAAAAAAAAACUAUUAAGGUGGUUAUUAUAGUUGUUAUCACCAGCCUAAAAUUUGAAUAGGUUCAGGUCGGAUUAUAUUGAGCUUGCAAGAUUAGUUCACGGACCAAACUUGCAUGAUAAUAGGUAUUCACAACAAGAUAUCUAUAGUUUCCAACAAAGUCACAUGUGAGAUCGUGCAUUAGAACCGCAUAAACAUGUUUUAUGUUUAGAAUAUGAUAUGUGUCUAUGUGUAUAGAAUCUACCUAAUAUAUCAUAUUAAUGAAUAGUAUCAAUUGCGGAGCCAAAAAAUUAUUUGUGAGGGGUCAGAAUUAAAUUGUAUAUUUUUACAAAAAUAAAAAUUAAAUUUCACUAUUUUAAUAGUUUAUUUAUUUUUAAUUUUUAAAUGAUUAAAUUAAAUUUUAUAAAUUUUUAGGAUCAAAGUAUAAUUUUAUCAUUACUAAUUUAAAAUUUUAUAAAUUAUAAAAAGUUUAUAUGAAAAGUUUUCUAUUUUAGGGUGGCCAAAGCCCCUGUCAACUUCUGACUCGAUCACUUGCGGUUAGUUGGGUAAAGACUCAAGAAAAAUAGCGGUGUGUUUGGAUGGACGGUGCGUUUACUUGCGGUUAGUGUAAAAAUAGCGGUGGCGGUGAGAUUAGAUACUAUAGCAACACUGUAGCGUGAGACAAAAAGUAAGUUAAACGCACUGCACUGCACUUAAUCGUCUAUCUAAACUCACCAUAAGUGUCUAAAAUAUGAUUUAAGUGAAGAUACGUGGGGUAGGUGUCAUGGAAAUGUAAAAAAAAAAAAGAAUCCUACUAAUGUAUGGGAUGUGUACAAUUGAAUGCAGGAGUGAAUCAUUUGGGUAACAUUUGGACAAGAAACAUAAUGAACAAAAUGAAAGGAGAGGAAGCUAGUAAUAAAAGAUUCUUUUGGGUUAUAUAAUUUGUUUGGCAUAUAUUUUUAUAAUAUUUAAAUAUCAUUUUGGAGUUGUUGAAUUAUAAUUUAUUUUUAUGUUUUAAAACAUAAUUAUUCUAUUUUUAGAGGUCAGAGUAGAGGUGAGCAUGAGUCGGGCUACUCGGCUCGGGCUGAAGGCUUGCGCAAAAUGUGAGAGAUUUGGGUAAAAAUAUAGGCCCGAAAAAUGAGUUUAGACAAAAAAAAAUAUAAGGCCCGUUGAAAAAACAGGCUAGGCCUUGGGUAAGGCAUUUUGGCCCCAGACCCGGCCCAACCCAAAUUCACUAAGGGCACGUUUGGUUCGCUGUAUUGGAAUAGAGGCGUAAUGUAAUAGAGGCGUAAUGGAAUAGAGACGUAAUAGCAAAUCAAUUGUUUGGUUGAAUGUAAUGGAAUAGAGGCGUAAUAGUAUUCUUAUAUUUGGUUGAAUGGAAUAGAGUUGUAAUAGCAUAAGGAAAAAAGUUAAAAUGACUAGAAUACCCUUAGCAGAAAUUUGUUUAGAUAAAUGAUUAUUGUUAUUGUUAUUAAAUUUUAAUAAGAUUAUUAAUAUCAGUAAUAAAUAAUUUAAUCAUAUUUUAACAUAAUUAUUAUUAAAUAUAAUUUAAUAAAAAUAUAUAAUUUAAUAAAAUUCUUAAUAUUAAAUAUUCUUAAUAUUAAAUUACUAAAAUCAUAAUAUAUAAUACUAUAAAAUAUAAUUUAACAUAAUUAUUAUUAAAUAUAAUUUAAUAAAAUUCUCAAUAUUAAAUAUAUUCUUAUAUGAAUUUACUAAAAUCAUAAUAUAUAAUACUAUAAAAUAUAAUUUAAAAUAAUUAUUAUUAAAUAUAAUUUAAUAAAAAUAUAUAAUUUAAUCUAAAGUUUGAAUGUGUAUUUACCUAGCAAAAAUCAAUGAACUCUCGUGUAACUAUAACCUUAAUAAUAUAUGAUGUAUAAUUAAUAUUUCGUGACUAAUUAAUAGCAUAGAGAUAAAUAUAGUAAUGACGAAUUUAUAGUAUACGAUUAAAAUGCUAAUAAUUUAUAGUAUACAAUUAAAAUAUUAUAAAUAAAAUAAUAGUAAAUGAUAUAUAAGAUAAAUUAACAUAUAAAUAAUUCAGAUAUGUAAAGGAUAUGGCUGAAUAUGGUUGCUCCAAUAAUAAAGGAUAUAUAAUAUAUCAUGGUGUUGUUUUGUUUAGAUAGUUCGGUAACUUAGGAGGGUAUGUAUGAAGAACACAAGUUGAUGCAGAUAGAAAGACGACAAUAUUACAUGAUUACAAUAUGAUAUAGUAUAUAUAUAUAAUUUAUGGAUUCCUUGCAAUCACGUGGGUUCUCUAGCCAUUUUAUUUAGCAUAUCCAGUGAUAUUAAGAUCCAGAAUUAUAAUACAACUAAAAUCUGUGCACACUUAUGGAUGAUCCAACAAAGCCUCAGUUGGCUUUAGGUUCCAAAUCUUGCAACCCACAAACCAUAUUUGCUGGCACUGCAACAUCAAUCAUCUUAGGAUAUGCCAAGUUAAGAUCUGUUGCACCAACAAAAACAGAGGAGAAAUUGGAAGGCGAUCCGAAAAAACCCAAGGAUGCUUUUUCUUUUCUUUUUUUUUUAUAAUCUUUAUAGACUGGUUAUAUUGAGCAUCAACUUACUUUCCAUGAUGUUUUUGAAAGUCUCUUACAAAAAGGGUAUUCAACAAAUAAUAUAAUCAGACAUAUUGAUAGGACAAAUUGAAACUAGUAUUCUAUGAUCAUAAUAAAGAGUAAUCUUUAAUCAAAUGCGUGAAGGUAUUGAGAUGUCAUGCUUUUUCAUGAUUUCCUGUUUUACCAUGGCGAUGUUCAUUGGAAUAGUCCCAUCCAAGAGAAUCAAACCAAUGCUCAGCAAGAAAUGUUCAAUGCAUAUGUAAUUUUAAUUACAGAAGUUAUAUGCAGCUUAUAUGAGUUCAAGAUCAUAAAAUACUUCAUGGACAAAAGGAAACCCUUUCUUAUCACUGAAAUGAAAAUAGGCACUCUUAAUUUUCUAUUGUCAAAAGUAGCAAGCCAUUUUCCAAAGAAAAGGGAAGAUGGAUGGUUCCAGAAAGAAUACCUCAUCCUUUGUCAAGUGUGGAUUAUAUAGCAUCUCCUCUCCCACAGUGGUUACCUAUAAUCAAUGAGGUUUAUAAAAUCGAGCAAUCAUUUAUAUAUGUAAGAAAUGAUAGGAAUAAAGUUUUAUAUCUUACUGAGAAUCCUUUGUAGUCAUGAGCUGGAUAUAGCAAUGUCUCUUUCGGUAAUGUAAAAAUCUGGAUCCAUGAAACAAAUAAGUCCAUAAAUUUUAUUCAAAUUUUGACAAUUACAAUAAAAUUUUGAGAACUCAAAGAAUGUGACCAUAAAAAGUCCCCUGUCCUUACCUGUGAAUGCACUGACUUGUAGAGUUGCUGUGAACUUCCACCCUGCAAAAUGCAUUAAUCAGUGCUAGUCAAUGGCUACUGAAUGUGGGAGCAUUAGAGAAAAUUAUCUUAAAAACUUAAGUAUAACAAAAUUAGACAAUGACAUCCAGAUGGAAAGAAAUUGCCAGCAUAUAAGACCAGCAUUUAUGUACUCACGACUGAAAAUCCUUUGCAAAAAGUAUAGCCCUGAUAGUUCAAACUUUUACUUCAAGGAUGAUUUAAUUACUGAUUAGUUUGCCAUGAGGCUUGUGAAUGACAAACACUUUAUGUGCAACCACAGUAACAAGGUAAGCACCAAUAAGUAGAAGACUAGACGAAUAGGUAACCAAGAGUUAGAGCUAAAACAGACAAACAGAGCUACUAUCCAAUGAGCUAAAACAUACAAACAGAGGUAUAUUUUAAUAAUGAAAAUAAUCGAUUGCCUUAAACACCAUAUAGUGUUCCAAUCAAUCAAAUUAUAGCAGGCAUUAAAACCUUUCCCUUUCGUUAAUUCACAACUAUUAGCUUCAUUAAUCAAAUCCUAUGUACAGUUGAUCGAUUGAAAGUGUAACAUUUCAAAGACGAAAUUUAAACGCAAAACUGGUUAACAUUGAAAUUACAUGUAAAUAUAACCUAAAAAAUCAAAAAAUUAAUCAUAUUUUCAGAUUUCAGGCCGAAAUGGAAUGAAAUGAAAGGUAAAUCCAUUUUUUCCCCAAAAAAACAAAAAUAAAGAAAUAAUAUUUCAAGAACAGAUCAUUAAAUUCAUGGUAUAUAUAAAGAAAUUUAAUUGAAAUCAAAGGAAUAGAAGAAGGGAAAAGCGUACUUGGAACCAUUGCUGCUACUCUCUGUUACUCUGUUACCUCAUACGAUUCGUUAAAGGGUUGUUAGGGUUUGUUAAAAGGUUGGUCAGGAUAGAAGCAUGAAAAGGAGGGAGAAGGUUGGAAGGAAAUGGGAAGAAAAAUGAAAAAAAGAAGAAGAUGCUGCAACGGCUUGGAGGGUAAAAGAGGACCGAUUAGGUAAUCCUUUCUUUUGGAAGGGAUUACAAAUCGGCGCUGCAUAAGGGAAAAUGGGGAAUCAGUGCGCUGCGUAAUAGGCCCGUAUUAAGGCAAUACAGCCAACCAAACAUGGUAAUCAGUGGGGCCACGAAUUAGGGGUGUAUUGGCUAAUCCAAUACACCCAACCAAACAUGCUCUAAAGGACAAAAAAAUUUGAUUUUUUAAAUAUUAUUUUCUCUCUAUUUUGCUAUCAUUUUACUAUUAUGUUGCUACUAUGUUAUUGUUAUUUUUGAAUAUUGUAUAAAACUUAUUUUAUUGUUAAUUUUGUUAUUAUUUUAAAGACAUUUGUUAAUUUUGUUAUUAUUUUAGAGACAUUUGUUUGUUAAGUUGCAUCUAUCUUAGUGUUAUUUAAGUAUACAUAUUUUUUAAAAUUUAUUUUCAAUUUAUUGGGAAAUAUUUAUUUUGAUGUUUUUAGUAUUUUGGAUGUAUUAUAUAUAUUAAAAUUAUAUAAAAAUUAAUAUGGCCGAGCCAGGUCAGGCCCAGAUUUUAGCAUUUUUAUUCAGGUCGGGCUUGAGCAAAAUUUUAAGCCCAUUUUUUGGGCCAAACCAGGCCUGGGCUUAGCAAAUGGGCCUAAAUUUUUAGUCAAGCUCGACCUAAACCCGAUCCGGCCCAUGCUCACCUCUAGAUCAGAGCUGCCCUCGCUUUGCAUUUCUUUGAGAUUCAGUCUUAUCUACUGUUGAUUGCCCACUCAAUGGAGGGUUGAGUAGAAAGAUUUGGUGAAGCAAGCUAAGCUAUCAAUCAAGGUUGGAGAAAGCUUAGGAGGUCACAAUGCAUAAUUAUUUAAAUGUAAUUCUAAUAUUUAAAUAAAAUUUAUUAAUAUAGUAUUAACAAGCCCUAAAUGUAAUGAUUAUAUACUAUUACAUUUUUAAGAAGAGAAAACAUGUUUGAACCUUAAAAACAUCAUUAUUAAAAAUGAUAAUUACAAAUUUUAAAAUAUAAAAAAUAUAAUUAAAAAUUAAUUUUAAACCCGAGCUGGAUAAAAUUCUAAUUUUAGAUAACGAUACUAAUAAGAAAUCAAUAUUAAAAUGAAAAUGAAAAGUAAUUUAAUAUAAUUUUUGAGUCUUGGGCAAAGGCACUCAAUGAAUGCUUGGAAAGAAAUAAUGCAACUUGGUGAUAGCUUUUGUUGGAGUAAUAUGCUCUUAUUAUAGUUUUAUGUUUUUAUCUUGCAAAAACAACAUAUUGGAGUUUUCGGCAUGAUUUUUUCUUAAUACUUUACAUGAAAAAUAAUAAUGGGACUUAAAUUGCUACAAUAUUACAACACAAAGUUACAAUAAGAGCUUAUAACUCAACAAAGGCUAUCAAUAAAUAAUCUCAGGCAAGCUAAAGAGAAAUGUUGAGAAUACCACCCGAAUAGUGACUGACUUUAAAAGUUGAAAACCCGAAGCUAUAUUAUCUCAAACGAAAUCAAACCAUAAACAUUAAAAUUUUCAAGUCUACUAGUUACUGUAAAAAAUUCAGCUCCAACAGACACCAAAUGAGCCUUUGAUCGAAGAAAGUACGAAAAAUAGUCUAGGUAAACCAAGCUUCCAAACUUACUUAUCUUAUCUUUAAUUUGCAGUGAAAUUCAAAAUUAAGAUUUUGUUUAUUUCACUUGGAACAACUUUCAAAAAAUUAUUUUUGAAAAAUGAAUUGGUUUUUCGAAAUAGAUGAUAUUUUAUUGUGUCAAAAUUUUAUUCAUUGUAGGAAAACUUUUUUUAAAUCAUUUUCUUAGAGUUAUUUUUAGUUAAAUAAACAUAACAUAAAUAUAUUUGUUACAAAAAAUUAUACUAGUAUUUUCUUUUGACAAUUAAAAUUUAUUUUAUGGUAAGACAAUAUUUUAUAAUAAUUAAUAUCAUAUAUAUACGUAAUAAAAAUCAUGUUUAAUUAAAAUUUAAUUAAAAUUAGAUGUAUUAAUAAAGCUACUCCUCCACAACCCGCAUCCGCAACAGCACCAGCACCAGCACCAGCACCAGCAUCAGCACCAUGGGACAACUAUUGGGUUUCCUCCACCUGCCUCUAUCGCUCCUCCUCAGUAUUACCCCCAAGCCUACCAGACCGUGCCGGGUAUUCUACAAAUAUGAAAAAACCUUCUUCUCUUUUUAUUAGCUUAUCGAAAUGAAGGAUUUUGAGAUUUGGGCUUUUGUUAGAUGGAUGGUUAAUGAUAUUUUUUAGAUGAAAGAUACAAGUUUUUUAAUGUUUUAGAAGAAAAGGUGUUUAAAUAUUAGGAGUUUUUUAGCAGAGAAAGAAGAUAAAUAAAUGCAUAGAGAUACAUUAGCAAUAUUAUUUGGAUUUGGUUGUCUAAUGUAAUGAAGAAUUUUUUAAGGGUGACCUGAGUAGGUGUGGCAAGAUUCAAAGUUUUUUCUAUUAUAGCAGAUAUAUAUAUAUUAAUGGUUUAAGAAGACUAGAAGUCGGUUUCAAAGGAAGAUGAGAAAUAAAAGCAUUUAUAUAUAUGAUAUGUCAUUAAUUCAUAAACCAAAUAUAUAAAGUAUGUAAAAGUGUCAGGGGUUAAUCAUGGUGUUUUGACAAUCCGGUAACCUUCAACUUGAAGAAAACCUUAGGUUUCAAAAAUUUAUGUGAAGAGUUAGAAUGGUAUGCUUCAUGGAUCUGAAUAACUAGAACAGUGUAAGAGUGGUAUAUUGUGUCAAGUUUGGUUUCUUGUAUAUAAUUGUAUCGAAAACAAUGUUACAUGAGUUAAAAUGAAUGUUCAUCCAAUUUAACAAAGCCUGCAUUAUGUUGAUCAAAAUUUUUAAUUCAUGUUGAGGUUUCUUCCGUGAUAUCUUUGAUGUCAAGGUUAUGAUGUUGCUGAAGGGACACCUGUAAGAGAUAAGCCACCGUGCUGUGGCAUUGGAUUCGGAUGGUUCUUGUAAGUGUACAUAGUUUUCUUUGUUUUUAAAGAGUUCUUUACAUAUGAAGUAAAACAAGUAGCGACUUGAUGGAUAUGUCAUUAAGCUUUAACUUAAGCAAAUCAUUUUCCUUCAUCUCUAAUUGCCAUUUCUUUAAAAGAAAAAGAGGAAGUUUUGUAGUUUACAGUUUGGACAAAUGGAAGUUAAUAUAAUGCACUAUUUGGAUGGACUAUGGAGAUAUCCAAUCAUAUUGGAUGAGUUAUAAGAAACCUGUGAGUUCAUAUUGGGUUUACUUUAUAUCAUAAUUAGAUUGUUGAGCUGGCUGUCAUACUUAGAUGGUAUUUCACGUUGCUACUUGUUAAACUAUACCACUUUCACAUUCAUACGUGAAAUGGCUGGGAUUUAGUGCCAUUCUACUUAGCAGCCUCGUGUAAUACACAGGUGAAAUGUUUAUGUCUUCAUGUCACCUUAAAGUUCCCAUUUCCAUGACGGUAUUGUUAAGUAAAGACUGGUACAUACCCCAAAAUACGGAAAUUGUUUUGGAUGUAUACUAUACUUUACCAUGCAUGAUUUUUUACAAGUUUGCAUGGUAUUUUAUCAUUAUAUUGGUCUUUAUUUUCUAUACUCGCAGCUUCCAUUAAUAUAUUUUUAUGAAUUUUAUCAUUAUGCUGGUUUGAAGGUUCAUCAUUGGUUUCUUCAUUGGGGGCCAUCCCUGGUAUAUUGGAUUCUUUGUUUUACUUUGUGCAAGGAUAGACGACAGAGAGAAAGCAGGAUAUAUUGCAUGCACAAUUGCCGUGAGUAUCUUUUCUAUCAUUAUUUUUUUCUUUUCCAAUUUUAUGAAAGCCAUCCUUCCUGCCUUGUAUUGAUCAUCAAUUUAACCAUUAUAUAUAUGUAUCUUAUGUAUUUGUACCAUGCUUUAUCUUCAAUGCAAAUAUAAGUUAAACUACAAAGAUUGGAUUGUUAAAAAAAGUUUAAAAUGUUAAAAAAAUUGAAAAUUUUGAUUUUGUAAGAAUGAUAGAAAACCAAGGCCAGUGCUUGCAUAUGUUAUCUACUACAUGCACAAUCGGGUCGAUGUCUGUAUAUGUUUCAUGUUUAGAAAUCGUGUUCAAUUGGGUUACGAUAUGUACAAUUGAAGUGUCAAUUUAUAAUUUCCUUAUCAAGAUUACACAUUUUUUUGUUAAUAUUCGGAAUCACUCAAUGGUUAUAAACCCUGAUUGGAUACUGUCCACAAAGUCUAGUUGGAACAUCCCUUGUAUUCUUUGUCCUUUCUAAGAACUUUCCUUUCCAUCAUUCUCGCUUCUGUUUUUUUUUUCUUCCCUCUACUUUAAGUCAUUAUCUAACGUAGAUAUCCCUUGUAUUCUUUGUCCUUUCUAUGGCAAUCGAGUCAAUUGAUGGCAAGCCAAAAAAACAAAAAGAGCAGCUAUCCUGUCUUACUCGAUUGCCAUCCCUCCUGUUAAACACCAUUAAGAAAAGGAAAAUUUUAGUUAAGCUUUAAAACAGCCAUGUUUUAACGAUGUUGGUGAUGGUGCUUGUGCAGGCCCUUCUUGCUACAAUUACAAUUAUUCUUAGUGCAACAAUUAAAGCUGGUGGGUGAUAAAGCACACCUCUUUUGACUGAGAGAUGUAUAGGUUCCCAAAUAAUAUGUAUAUGCUCCCCCCCCUCCCUUUAUUUUAUUUUAUUUCCAGUAAGUUAUUGUUUAUGAUAAUUUGCAACAAAUGUUUUUGUCAUUAUUUUGUUGGUGAAUGAUAAUAAGAUUAAGCUUUACUUUCUUAAGCUCCAAUUCCUUGGACGUUGGUGAUUUUUUUAUUAUAGUUGAGUCAUUGUAUGGUAUUAAUAUAAUUUAUGUCGCUUAAAAUUUAUAACUAAAAAUAUAAAAUUUAAAUUUUACUUCAAUUUAUUUGUAUUUAUAAAUGGUUAAUUCAAACUUAUUUUUUUCCUCAUUAUAUUUUAUAUUUAAAUUAACAUUUAAACUAUUUUUCAUUAGCAAUGUUGUUAAGAAUUAUAUUUUUUAGCACCAACAUCAAACUUACUAAAAUUAAAUUUUUAACUAUUUAAAAAAAAUAUUUUUAGCUAUUUAUCAUCAUAGAGAAAAAAAGGUGACGUCACCACGCCUCAUGCUUCGACACCACAAACUAGACUCUCAUCACCCGUAUUUAUCAUCGAUUCAAAUUCCAGAACUACCUAAAAAUAUAUCUUCAAACUUCCUCUGGUUAAGUUCAUUGAUAGUCAACUUACUAUCAUUUCUAAAAAAAAAACAAAUAAAUUGGUUAAUAGUAAUCUCAAUGAUUCAAUUUUAUUCUUACCAGUAUCUGUCCUUUAGAAAGGGGCUUAUAAAAGGGGUAGAGGUGAGUAAACUUGAGCUUCAGCUUUCCACAAACACCUUAAUUUGAAGACACAGUUCUCUCAUACUAAAAAAGACAUGGAAGUUUACCUUGUAAUUAGAGAUUUGGUUUCAUUGCUUGUUGUUGGGUUAUUAAUGAUAUGGGGAUGCAGAACUUUAAACUGGGUAUGGCUGGCCCCAAAAAGGCUCGAAAGCUGCUUGAGACAACAGGGUUUUGCAGGGAAUCCUUACAGGUUCCUUUCUGGUGACAUAAAAGAGCUCUCAACUAUGAGCAGACAAACAAGAGCCAAACCUAUGCCUCUUAGUGAUGAUAUUGGGCCUUAUGUUGUUCCUUUUCAACAUCAAACUGCUAACCAGUAUGGUAUGUUUUUUUUGUUUAAUCUGCAAUUUAUGAUAAUUCUUUGUUAUUUAUGUAUGGAAUUUAUUGGGAGGAAAUGCAGGAAAGAAUUCAUUUACGUGGUUUGGUCCAAGACCAAGGGUGAACAUUACGGACCCUGAAAAAAUAAGAGAAAUACUUAACAAAUUUAAUGACUUCCAGAAGAUACAUACCAAUCCACUGCUUAAUUUGCUUGUAAGCGGCCUUGCUAACCUCGACGGAGACCGAUGGAGCAAGCGUAGAAAAAUCAUAAACCCUGCAUUUCAUCAAGAUAAGUUGAAGGUAUAGAAUAGUGAUGGGUAAUCAGACUUUACAGAAAACAUCAUACUUAAACCUAUGCUUUUCUGAUUUAGAAAUAAUUGGAUGCAGAAUAUGUUGCCAGCAUUUUAUCAAAGUUGUAGUGACAUGUUAAGCAAAUGGGAGAAGAUGGUGUGUACAAAAGGAUACAGUGAGUUAGAUGUGUGGCCUUAUCUCGUAGAUUUGACAAGAGAUGUGAUUUCCCGAUCUGCUUUUGGAAGCAGCUUCGAAGAAGGCAAACGAAUUUUCCAAUUACUAGAGGACCAACUCGUUCACAUAAUCAAAUUAAUACAAACUGUUUACAUUCCAGGAUGGAGGUAACCGUCAACUUAAUUUACUUGAAAAAGGUUGCAAAUGUUGGAAUUCGCUAAAUUCGUGUUUGUUUUCUUGAAGGUUUUUGCCAACGAAGACAAACAGGGAGAUGAAGAUGAAACACAGGGACAUAAAAGAGUUGCUUAUGGAAAUGAUAAAGAGAAGGGAGAAGGCAAUUAAAGCAGGGGAAGAGAGCAAUGAGGACUUGUUGGACAUACUUGUGGAAUCCAAUAUCAGAGAAAUGGAAGCAAAGAAUAUUGGGAUGAGCAUUGAGGAUGUGAUUGAGGAAUGCAAGCUGUUUUACUUAGCUGGCCAAGAGACCACUUCGGUCUUACUGGUGUGGACUAUGGUUUUAUUAGCAAGGUAUCCCGAUUGGCAAAGUAAAGCAAGAGAGGAGGUUUUGCAUGUUUUGGGUGACAGUAAACCUGACGCUGAUGGCCUUAAUCGUCUCAAAGUUGUAAGUCCCUAGCAUGUCUUUUGAAGGUCCGAUCAAUGAGGUCGACAACUCAAAAACUUUGUUUCUUUUUUCGCUAAUUCUACAGGUAACAAUGAUAUUGUACGAGGUUCUAAGGCUGUACCCACCGGUGGUUGAGCUAGAACGUUCCGUUCCAAAAGAAAUAAAACUGGGGAAUUUGUUGUUACCAGUAGGAACAGAAGUUUCGGUUCCGAUCCUGCUGAUCCACCAUGACAAAGAUCUUUGGGGCGAUGACGCACGGGAAUUUAAGCCAGAGCGGUUCGCGGAAGGGGUUUCCAAAGCAACAAAGAGUCAAGUCACGUUUCUGCCAUUCGGAUGGGGUCCUAGGAUCUGUAUUGGCCAAAAUUUUGCUAUGAUGGAAGCCAAAAUGGCGAUGGCUAUGAUUCUCCAACGCUUCUGGUUCGAGCUUUCCCCUUCCUAUGCUCACUCUCCUUACGGCAGGGCAACUCUUCGUCCACAGCAUGGUGCACAGAUAAUUUUACAUAAACUUGGCUGUAAUUGAAUUGUUAUGUAAACAAAUCUUUGUGAAAACAUAGCGUUUUAGUUUAUCGUCAAAGUCCGGUGUCUGUAAUGGUACAAAUUCGAUGCAUGAAUAGUAAAGUUUGAGAUGUUUGGUGAAGUCCGAAAUAAUAUGCAGAAAUUGAGUGUGGUAAUUAUCAAUCAAAUAAUUCGGUACAAAGACUUACAUGGAAAUUAAAGCAGGGGGAGUUGAAAAUGACUACUCUGCUUUGGGCAUCAAUUUAGAAAGAUUUAAAGUACAAAUGUGUUAUUAGUUAAGGGAUUUGUUUUAAAGAGGGAAUGACAAUUAAACCUCAUGGUUGAUUUGUGGAAGGGAACCGAUGAUGGGAUGAUUAUUCUUAGUGGUAAAAAAAACUAUUGUGGAGGUUAUUAUACUUGUUAUCAUCGGCUUAAAAUUCGAAUGGGUUCAAGUCGGAUUAUAUCGAGCUUGUAAGAUGAGUUCACGGAUCAAAUUUGCAUAAUAAAAAUACUUAAAUGAAAAAAAUUUCUAUUUUAGAGGGACCAGAGCCCCUACCAAUUCCCGGCUCAGCUACUAAACAAUACCCAUAUCAUAUAAAUAAAUACCACCAUAAAAAAAACUCAAAGAAAAACACUGACAAAUGAUAAAUAGAUAGAUGUUGGAUAAGUGUCCAAAAUAUGAUUUAAGUGAAGAUACAUGGGGUAGGUGUCACGGAAAUGUGAAUACAAGAAUACUACUAAUGGGAUGUGUACAGUUGAAUGUAGGGAGCAAAAAGAGGAGUGAAUCAUUUUGGUAACAUUGGGACAAGAAACAUAAUGAACAAAAUGGAAGGAGAGGAAGCUAGUAAAAGAAAUUUUUUGGGUCAUAUAAUUUGUUUGGCAUAUAUUUUUAUAAUUUUUAAAUAUCAUUUUGGACUUGAAUUAUAAUUUUUUUAUAUAUUAUCUUAAAAUUGUAUAAAUUUUAAGGAGUUAAAACAAAAUUAUUCUAUUUUUAGAUGGUUAAAGUAGAGAUGAUAAUGGGUUGAGCUAUUCGGCCCAGCCUGACGAUCCACCCGAAAAAUAGGAAGGUUUGGGUAAAAAUAUAGGCUUGAAAUAUGAAUUUGAGCAAAAAAAGAGGCCCGUUUAGAAAAUGGGCCGAGCCUCGGGUAAAACCUUUUGGGUCUAGACCUGACCUAAAUUAUAUAUUAAAUAUAUAUAUUUUUAUUUUUAAUCAAAUAUACUUUUGUUUUAUUAUUAAUUUGGUUAUUAUUUUAGUUCUAAUUUGUUUCAAUUUUAAUAUAACUACUUUUUAUUAUAUUUUCAAUUUGUGCAUUGUUUUAAGAAUUAUUUUAGUCUCAUUAUUUAUUUAUUUUUUAUUUUAAUAUUUGUUUUAAAAUUUUUUAUUUAUUGAAAUAAGCUAAAAAAAUUAAUAUGGGUUGGACCAGACCGGGCUCGGGCCUAGUAAUUUUCUUUUGGGCCGGACUUAAACAAAUUUUUAAGCCCAUAUUUUGAAUUGGGUCCUACACUAGAAAAUGGACCUAAAAUUUUGUAUUACCUUUAGGUCAGAGCUAUCCUCGUUUUGCAUUUCUUUGAGAUUCAGCCUUAUUUACUUUUGAUUGCCCACUCAAUAGAGGGUUGAGUAGAAAUAUUUGGUGAAGCAAGCUAAGCUAUCAAUCAAGGUGUGCAUAAUUAUUUAAAUGUAAUUCUAAUAUUAAAAUAAAAUUUUUAUUAAUAUAGUAUCAACAAGCAUUAAAUGUAAUCAUCAUAUACUAUUAAAUUUUCAAUAAGAGAAAACAAGCUUGAACUUUAAAAACGAUGUUACUAAAAACAUUAUCACAAAUCUUGAAAUAUAAAAAAUACUUUUUAAUAUAAUAAAAAAAUAAUUUUAAAACCGAGAUGAAUAAAAUUCUAAUUUUAAUUAAUGAUACCAACAACAAAUCAAUAUUUAAAUUAAAAUUUAUCUUAAUUUAAUAUAAUAAAAUUGGACUUGAAUAUUGAAUUUUUGAGUCUUGGGCAAAGUAGAGGUGCUCAUGGGCCGGGUUGGGUCGGGUUUGGGAAAAAUUUCGGCCCGCAUCCUAGGCUCGGGCUCGGCCCGACCCAAAUAUGGGCCUAAAAUUUUGUCUAGGCCUAGCCCGGCCCGGCCCAACUCAUUUUUUUUAAUAAACACCAAAAAUUUAUUUUGAAAAUAAAAAAAUAAAAAAAGUAUUUUAAAAAUAUUUUAAAAUUUUUAAAAAAUAUAUAUAUUUAUUAUAUAUUCGGGCCGGGCCAGGCCCGAGCCAAAAAAGUGGCGCCCAAGGCCCGGCCUGUUUUCUAAACGGGACUCAUUUUUUACCCAAACCCAUAUUUCGGGCCUAUAUUUCUACCCGAAUCUCUCAUAUUUAGGGCGAACCGUCGGGCCGGACCGGGCCGCCCGGCCAUGAACACCUCUAGGACAAAGUCACUCAAUGAAUGCAUGGAAAGAAAUAAUGCAACUUGGUGAUAGCUUUUGUUGGAGUUAUAUGCUUUUUUUUUACGUAGUGGAACUUUCGGUGGAUUUUCAAGUUUCAUGAACUUUAUACUCUAUGCUUUACGUGAAAAAAAAAAUUCAUUGGACUUAAAAGUCUACCAAAAGUUUCACUAAAAAAAAAACCAUUGCUACAAGAUUACAACAUAAAGUUACAAUAAGAGCUUAUAACUCAACAAAGGCUAUCAAUAAAUAAUCUCAAACAAAUUAAAGAGAAAUGUUGAGAGUACCACUCGAAUAGUGAUUAACUUUAAAAAUUGAAAACCCAAAGUUAUAAUAUCCCAAACGAAAUCAAACCAUAAACAUUAAAUUUUUCGAGUCUACUAGAUACUGCAAAAAAUUCAGCUCCAACAGACACCAAAUGAACCUAUGAUCGAAGAAAAUACGAAAACUAGUCUAGCUAAAUCAAGCUGCCAAACUUACUUUUUAUCUUAUCUUUAAUUUGCUGUGAAAUUCAAAACUAAGGUUUUGUACUUAGAACAACUUUCAAAAAGUUAAUUUUGAAAAAUGGAUUGAAUUUUCAAAAUAGAUGAUAUUUUAUUGUGUUAAAAUUUUAUUCGUUGUUUGAAAAAAAAUUUAAAUCAUUUUCUUAGAAUUAUUUUUAGUGAAACAAACAUAUCAUAAAUAUAUUUGUUAUAAAAUAUUUAUAUUAAUAUUUUCUUUUAACAAUUAAAAUAUAUUUUGUGAUAAGGUAUAUUUUAUAAUAAUUAAUAUCAUAUAUACUUAAUAAUAAAUCAUGUCUAAUUAAAAUUUAAUUUCAAUUAAAUAUAUUAAUAAAGCUACAUAUAAUCAUAUUUUAUAUAAUAAAAAUAUUAAUAUAAAUAUUUUUUUAAUAAUAUAUUAAAGAAUAUUUAAAAUUUAAAUUUAUUAUUACUAAGAUUAAUUAUUAAAAUAAAAAUGUAAUGUUAAAUAAUUUAUCCAAUGAUAAGUUAUAUUAAUAAUUUAUUAUAUUAUUAAAUAUAAAUAAUUAAAUAUGUAUGUUUAAUAAUAUUAUGUUAUAAUAUUUAUUAUUAAUAUUUUAAUAUUUUUAAACAACCAUGUUUUAAAGAUGGUGGUGAUGGUGAUGGUGCAGGCCCCCUUGUUACAAUUACAAUAUUUUUAAGUGGGAUGCAUGUAAUAUAUUGUUAGGGUUUUAGAGUGUGUGGUCUUUAAAAGGGUUAAAUUAUAUAUUUAUAUAAUAUGAUUAUUGUUUAUAAAUAUAAUAUUGUAGAUAAACUUUUAUGCAUGUCAAUAUGUAUCCUACUCUGGGGUUAAUAUGUAUUUUUAGAUAUGGAUUCACCUAUAUAAUAGUAUGAAUCCAUCAUGCGGUCUCAUGAAAUAUACAAACACAUAUCGUGCGAACACAAAGUACGAACAAUAAAAAGUACAAAUCAAGACCAAUUGAGUAAUUGAAUAGCAGAUAGGUAAUAAUGACUAUCCCCUCUUGUUUGAAUUUAUUUUAUUUCCAGUGAGUUAUCGUUUAUGAUAAAUUUACAACAAAUGUUUUUAUCAUUAUUUUGUUGGUAAAUGAUAAUAAGAUUAAACUUUACUUUCUUAAGCUCCUUCAAUUCUUUGGACGUUAGCAAGUAAACUUGAGCUUCAGCAUUCCACAAACACCUUAAUUUGAAGACACAGUUCUCCCAUACUAAAAACAACAUGGACGUUUACCUUGUAAUUAGAGAUUUGGGCUCAUUGUUAGGUUAUUAAUGAUACGGGGAUGGAGAGCUUUAAACUGGGUAUGGCUGGCCCCAAAGAGGCUCGAAACGUGCUUGAGACUAGAGGUCCAGGCAAAUUUUUAGGCCCAUUUUUUAGGCCUGGACUGGGCCCGACUCGAAAUAUGAGCUUAAAAAUUUGUCUAAGUUCGGUCCAAAAGAAAAUUGUUAAGCCUAAGCCCGGCCCAUAUUAAAUUUUACAACACCAAAAAACUAUAUAUUUAAUAUAUAUAUUUGAUUAAAAAGUAUAUUUAAUUAAAAAUAAAAAUAUAUAUUUAAUAUAUAAUUCGGGCCGGGCCGAACUCGGGCCAAAAAAGUUUUACUCGGGGCUGGUCCGUUUUCUAAACAGACCUCGUUUUUUUGUCAAAAUCCAUAUUUUAGGCUUAUAUUUUUACCCGAAACUUCCUAUUUUUCGGGUGAACCGUCAGGCCGGACUAGGUAGCCCAACCAAUGAUCACCUCUACUUGAGACAACAGGGUUUUGCAGGGAAUUCUUACAGGUUCGUUUCUGGCGACAUAAAAGAGCUCUUCACUAUAAGCAUACAAACAAGAGCCAAACCUAUGCCUCUUAGUGAUGAUAUUGGGCCUUAUGUUGUUCCUUUUCAACAUCAAACCGUCAAUCAGUAUGGUAUGUUUUUUAAUUUAAUCUGCAAUUUAUGAUAAUUCUUUGCUAUUUAUG